CGCAGGCGGAGCGCUGGCUGCUCAGCUGCCCCUCAUAAGGGCGGAAAGCCCGGUUCGACACCGGGGCCUGCGAC
rnacentral:tRNA from 2 species